UACGUAGGGUGCAAGCGUUGUCCGGAAUUAUUGGGCGUAAAGGGCUCGUAGGCGGUCUGUCACGUCGGGAGUGAAAACUCGGGGCUUAACCCCGAGCCUGCUUCCGAUACGGGCAGACUAGAGGUAUGCAGGGGAGAAUGGAAUUCCUGGUGUAGCGGUGGAAUGCGCAGAUAUCAGGAGGAACACCGGUGGCGAAGGCGGUUCUCUGGGCAUUACCUGACGCUGAGGAGCGAAAGUGUGGGGAGCGAACAGG
rnacentral:rRNA from 1 species